AGAACAGCAAGAGAUCAAUCACAUAAUCUUGAGAAGGUCUAGCAUGGCGGAUGCUGCGGCUACUGGUCCAGGAAGCACAUUUUGAGAACCACUCAGCUAGAAGAUUAUUGCAUUCAUCCAGGCCUUCAACAGAUUGGACGCUGCCCACCCACAUCGGGGAGGGCCACCUGCUUUUCUCAGUCCACGAAUUCAAAUGCUGCUGUCUUCCAGAAACACCUUCACAGACACAUCCAUUAUAUAUUAAAUACAAUGUGUUGCUAAAUAUCUGGGCAUCCUGUGGCCCAAUCAAGUUGACACACAGAAUUCACCACUACAGGAGUCAGGGUUAAAAUGA
rnacentral:lncRNA from 1 species